rnacentral:rRNA from 1 species
GAUGAACGCUGGCGGCGUGCCUAAUACAUGCAAGUCGAGCGAACGGACGAGAAGCUUGCUCCUCUGACGUUAGCGGCGGACGGGUGAGUAACACGUGGAUAACCUACCUAUAAGACUGGGAUAACUUCGGGAAACCGUAGCUAAUACCGGAUAAUAUAUUGAACCGCAUGGUUCAAUAGUGAAAGACGGUUUUGCUGUCACUUAUAGAUGGAUCCGCGCUGCAUUAGCUAGUUGGUAAGGUAACGGCUUACCAAGGCAACGAUGCGUAGCCGACCUGAGAGGGUGAUCGGCCACACUGGAACUGAGACACGGUCCAGACUCCUACGGGAGGCAGCAGUAGGGAAUCUUCCGCAAUGGGCGAAAGCCUGACGGAGCAACGCCGCGUGAGUGAUGAAGGUCUUCGGAUCGUAAAACUCUGUUAUUAGGGAAGAACAAAUGUGUAAGUAACUAUGCACGUCUUGACGGUACCUAAUCAGAAAGCCACGGCUAACUACGUG